rnacentral:rRNA from 1 species
AGUCGAACGAUGAACCUGGAGCUUGCUCUAGGGAAUUAGUGGCGAACGGGUGAGUAACACGUGAGUAACCUGCCCUUGACUCUGGGAUAACCUCCGGAAACGGAAGCUAAUACCGGAUAUGACGCACGGAGGCAUCUCCUGUGCGUGGAAAGAACUUCGGUCAAGGAUGGACUCGCGGCCUAUCAGGUAGUUGGUGAGGUAACGGCCCACCAAGCCUACGACGGGUAGCCGGCCUGAGAGGGUGACCGGCCACACUGGGACUGAGACACGGCCCAGACUCCUACGGGAGGCAGCAGUGGGGAAUAUUGCACAAUGGGCGAAAGCCUGAUGCAGCAACGCCGCGUGAGGGAUGACGGCCUUCGGGUUGUAAACCUCUUUUAGUAGGGAAGAAGCGAAAGUGACGGUACCUGCAGAAAAAGCACCGGCUAACUACGUGCCAGCAGCCGCGGUAAUACGUAGGGUGCGAGCGUUGUCCGGAAUUAUUGGGCGUAAAGAGCUCGUAGGCGGUCUGUCGCGUCUGCUGUGAAAACCCGAGGCUCAACCUCGGGCUUGCAGUGGGUACGGGCAGACUAGAGUGCGGUAGGGGAGAAUGGAAUUCCUGGUGUAGCGGUGGAAUGCGCAGAUAUCAGGAGGAACACCGAUGGCGAAGGCAGUUCUCUGGGCCGUAACUGACGCUGAGGAGCGAAAGCGUGGGGAGCGAACAGGAUUAGAUACCCU